rnacentral:rRNA from 1 species
UGGGGAAUAUUGGACAAUGGGCGGAAGCCUGAUCCAGCCAUGCCGCGUGUGUGAAGAAGGCCUUUUGGUUGUAAAGCACUUUAAGCGAGGAGGAGGCUACUAGUACUAAUACUACUGGAUAGUGGACGUUACUCGCAGAAUAAGCACCGGCUAACUCUGUGCCAGCAGCCGCGGUAAUACAGAGGGUGCGAGCGUUAAUCGGAUUUACUGGGCGUAAAGCGUGCGUAGGCGGCUAAUUGAGUCGGAUGUGAAAUCCCCGAGCUUAACUUGGGAAUUGCAUUCGAUACUGGUUAGCUAGAGUGUGGGAGAGGAUGGUAGAAUUCCAGGUGUAGCGGUGAAAUGCGUAGAGAUCUGGAGGAAUACCGAUGGCGAAGGCAGCCAUCUGGCCUAACACUGACGCUGAGGUACGAAAGCAUGGGGAGCAAACAGG